rnacentral:lncRNA from 10 species
AGGGAUCCGGAAGAGACGAGGCAGGAAGAAACUCCUGGUCCUUUCGCUUUUAAGGAACGUGCCACCUAGACAAGAAGGCCUGGGUGUCAGCCAGACCACACAUGGAUCCUUGAGCCAUCCUAUGGGAAUAUGACCUGAGAGGCCCUUCCCAUUGACUCAGCAGCGGGAUGGAGAAACCCCAGCAUAUCAUGGUUUCGUGGACUGAAAAUCCAUCCGGGGUCAUCUGCUGGGGUCCUGCCUGUGCCUCCUCAACACUCAGAGUCCCUAAGGUGAUGACUGCAGCUAUGACCCUGCUGAGAGCUUUCUCCUGAUGCCAGGGCACACUUGGCCCACUCACUGGACAAGACAGAAGUACUGGAGAUGUUGUACUCACAGAAAUGUUGUUCAGCCAAUGACAGGGAAUUGAUGAUGAUGUUAGUAUCCUCUCCCCUUGUACUGGAUAAACCUGAGUGUUCUUGUGUCCGGGAGGUCCCCAGUGGGAUUGAGCUCCAGUUGUCCACAGAGGGGAAUUUCUUCAUCACACCUGAUUUCUUGGCAGCCUUUUCCUCCCUGUGUCACUCCCUAAUCUGUUAACGGUGUUCCCUGGGAUCAUCCCCCAAAUAAACUACCUGGCCUUGCA